rnacentral:rRNA from 1 species
CGGGCUGAGUAACGCGUAGGUGACCUGCCCCGAAGUGGGGGAUAACUGCCCGAAAGGGUGGCUAAUACCGCAUGCGGUGGUUCGUUCAAUCGAACCAUCAAAGCAGCAAUGCGCUUCGGGAGGGGCCUGCGUCCGAUUAGCUCGUUGGUGGGGUAACGGCUCACCAAGGCGACGAUCGGUAGGUGGUCUGAGAGGACGAUCACCCAGACUGGGACUGAGACACGGCCCAG